GCGCACUUCUGUGCAGUGUGCACAUUAGUCGUCGUUGCCAGCAGGCUGCACCCAACAGCCAAGGGAUUUACGUGGCAUAGCAAGUCUCUGAAGCAGUGUCUCACACUCGAGUCCUGACGAGGGCCUUGAAACUGGCAUGCCUGUUCAAAACAUCUCCAGGACAACAAGGUUAUUUUGUGUUGACGUGUAUUGAAUUCUUAAGGGCAAAGAAGAUGAAGGAGAAUGCGUGCAGUGGGCUGAAUGGAGAAUUCGUGAAUCAAAGGCAACACCAUCAAAUGCAUUAUGAAAUUAAGCACUAUCAGGUUGUCAAGGCUGUAGCUCAGCGGGUACAUGGUCCUGGAUACCUGAUUUUUUUUUUUUGAAAACUAUUUAUAUAUGGAAUCUGAAUGCACUCUCCAAGAAAUGCUGCAGUUCUUUGUGCCACAAGAGGCCAAGAAGCUCUACUACAAGAAGUUGAGGCAGAAGAUGAAGAUUAUUACAAAUUAUCCAAGUCAGUUCCGACCAAGUAAUUUGAUUGGACAAGAGGCAUUCCAGUGCUGAUAUAGAGUAUAACAGCACUGGGUCUUUUAACUAUCCACGUAUCGCUCCGCUUUACGGGUGUUCUCGUAACCGUUAAUGUUAUUAACAAUCUUUUUGUAGCUUAGAUUGCAGCUAACUUUGCACAGCAAAUAUGAACAUGUUUCCAGGAAUAACAUUGGAGUUGAAUUAAGAAUGGUCGCCAGAAGAGGACCAAG